rnacentral:tRNA from 1 species
GGGGCUGUAGCUCAGUUGGCUAGAGCACCUGCUUUGCAAGCAGGGGGUCAGGGGUUCGAAUCCCCUCAGCUCCACCA